rnacentral:rRNA from 1 species
CCUACGGGGGGCAGCAGUGAGGAAUAUUGGUCAAUGGACGAGAGUCUGAACCAGCCAAGUAGCGUGAAGGAUGACUGCCCUAUGGGUUGUAAACUUCUUUUAUAUGGGAAUAAAAUGUUCCACGUGUGGGAUUUUGUAUGUACCAUAUGAAUAAGGAUCGGCUAACUCCGUGCCAGCAGCCGCGGUAAUACGGAGGAUCCGAGCGUUAUCCGGAUUUAUUGGGUUUAAAGGGAGCGUAGGUGGAUUGUUAAGUCAGUUGUGAAAGUUUGCGGCUCAACCGUAAAAUUGCAGUUGAAACUGGCAGUCUUGAGUACAGUAGAGGUGGGCGGAAUUCGUGGUGUAGCGGUGAAAUGCUUAGAUAUCACGAAGAACUCCGAUUGCGAAGGCAGUUCACUGGACUGCAACUGACACUGAGGCUCGAAAGUGUGGGUAUCAAACAGGAUUAGAUACCCUAGUAUUC